UACGAAUGUGGCAAGCGUUGUUCGGAAUCACUGGGCUUAAAGCGUGCGUAGGCGGCUUUGCAAGUCAGAAGUGAAAGCCUGGGGCUCAACCCCAGAACUGCAUUUGAAACUGCAAAGCUAGAAUACUGGAGAGGUUGGGAGAAUUCCUAGUGUAGAGGUGAAAUUCGCAGAUAUUAGGAGGAAUACCAGUGGCGUAGGCGCCCAACUGGACAGAUAUUGACGCUGAGGCACGAAAGCGUGGGUAGCAAACAGG
rnacentral:rRNA from 1 species